rnacentral:rRNA from 1 species
AGAGUUUGAUCAUGGCUCAGGAUAACGCUGGCGGCGUGCUUCAGGCAUGCAAGUCGAACGGACUACUACUUCGGUAGUAGUUAGUGGCGGACGGGUGAGUAACACGUAAGUAACCUGCCCAGAAGUGGGGAAUAACUGGCCGAAAGGCUGGCUAAUACCGCAUAUGAUGGCUCUUCCCUGGAGGGGUUAUCAAAGGCUUAGGCCGCUUUUGGAGGGGCUUGCGGCCGAUUAGCUAGUUGGUGGGGUAAUGGCCUACCAAGGCGACGAUCGGUAGCUGGUCUGAGAGGACGGACAGCCACACGGGGACUGAGAUACGGCCCCGACUCCUACGGGAGGCAGCAGCUAGGAAUCUUGGGAAUGGGCGAAAGCCUGACCCAGCAACGCCGCGUGGGCGAUGAAGGCCUUCGGGUCGUAAAGCCCUUUUGCAGGGGAAGAUGAUGACGGUACCCUGCGAAUAAGCCACGGCUAACUACGUGCCAGCAGCCGCGGUA